GAUGAACGCUGGCGGCGUGCUUAACACAUGCAAGUCGAACGGAAAGGCCCAAGCUUGCUUGGGUACUCGAGUGGCGAACGGGUGAGUAACACGUGGGUGAUCUGCCCUGCACUUCGGGAUAAGCCUGGGAAACUGGGGCUAAUACCGGAUAGGACCACAUUUUGGAUGGUGUGGUGGAAAGGUUUUCGGUGUGGGAUGAGCUCGCGGCCUAUCAGCUUGUUGGUGGGGUAAUGGCCUACCAAGGCGUCGACGGGUAGCCGGCCUGAGAGGGUGGACGGCCACAUUGGGACUGAGAUACGGCCCAGACUCCUACGGGAGGCAGCAGUGGGGAAUAUUGCACAAUGGGCGCAAGCCUGAUGCAGCGACGCCGCGGGGGGGAUGACGGCCUUCGGGUUGUAAACUCCUUUCGCUAGGGACGAAGCGUUAUGUGACGGUACCUGGAGAAGAAGCACCGGCUAACUACGUG
rnacentral:rRNA from 1 species